AAUGUUGCUUCUGCAGUAACUCCUCCUUUUGUUUCUCUCACCAAAAAAAUUCUGCAAAAAUUUCAUUAAAAAUCUAACCCUAACUUGAGAUUUCAUCAAGAAUUUCGUCAUCAAAAAUCAUCGAUCACUUAUAAGUCAGUUCAUAAAAAAAGCAGUUUCGUCAAUUUUCGUCGUCAUCAAGAAAAAUGCGGAGAAAGAAGAAAGAGAAAAUUGUAGAACAAGUUGAAAUUGAAGCGGAUUCAGAAAAAACUGAAUCAGAUGAAGAGACAAUGAUUCCAGUUAAAAAAGCAAACAAAGGAGCAUCGAAGAAGAACAUCAAAUGUAAAUCUAAGAAAAGUAGUACUUCAGAAAUAGAUCUUGAUGAAAAAGAAGGAGGAUCAAACCAUAAUAAUAGCGAUGAAGAAGAAGUUUAUUCUGGGGAUAGGCCAUACAAAGCUGGUUUGUCUGCUUUGACUGCUUUUGUGAUUGAUAUGAGAAAGGAAAAUCUGAAUUUGAAUGCUCAACAAAUAGAGGUACUUAAAGAGUCUCCCUUUGCUGAUUUGUUUAUGAUGAUAAUGGAGAAUGAGUACACUACAGCACUUUGGAACAAAAUUGAUGAAGCUUUCACAAAGUUAUUGACGUGCUUGAAAGAAGCAACAAGAAAAGAGAUUAUGUUUGAAUUUGUUCGUGGAGGUGAGAAAUAUACAAUGACAUCCACCCCGGAAAAAUUAGUUGUCAUUCUUGGGGUGCCAUGCAUUAAAGGCAGAUGGAAAGAAACCAAAAAGGCAAUGUAUGGUGAUUCUUUUAGAGAAUCUGAGUUUUACCUUAGGUAUUUUGGUGAUGAAAAAUCUGCUUCAAAGACAUUAAUAUGAGAUGCAAUCUUUAAACUGUUAAAGCAAACAGAACCACCUCUUACAAGAAGGGACAAUGAAGACUUGGUGAUACCGAUUGGUCUUUUCAUGUGCAAUACUAUUUUCUUUACCACUAAAGAUGCUGGCAAAAUAAAGGAGAAGUAUUUGGGUUUGCUCCAAGAUUUUCAACAAAUGUAAAACUUUAUCAUGGGCCCACUUGAUUCAUUCUGAAUUAGCCAAAGGCUUAAACAAAAGUUUCAACAACCCAAAAAAAAACUAGUGGAUGUGUUUUCUAUCUACCGACUAAGAUAGUGGAACCGAUUGAGUUGAGGAAAGAAAAAUUUGUACCAAGAGCAAGCAGGUGGAACCUGAAGUAGAUUGGCAAAGAGUUCCUCAAAGAUAUGGAUACAUCAAACUAUUUGUUUAGGAAAAACUUCGUUGAUGAAAUAACUUAAUAUGAAAGAGUGGCACUUGGUAUGAGUGAAGAAGGUGGAAGUAUAUCUUUGGUAGAAGACAGAGAAGAAAAAAAUCAUAACUUGAGCAUGGAAAUCAAAACAGGUUGGCAGGUAAUGCAGAAUUUGAUUGCUAAUAAUGAAAAAGUACACCCUAAAAUGCAAGAAAUGUUGAAUAAAUUGUACUUCCAAGCAUGUCCAGAAGAAUUAGAGAGUCUACCCAAUUCCUUUGAAUUGAAGAAUGAUAUAACAGUUGAUUCUGAUUCUGCAAAAGAAAGACAAGUCACAGCAGAUGUUUCUUCUUCCGUGCAGUCGAAGAAUGAUACAACACCAGCAACAAUGAUGUGUACUACAUCUAAUGAUGCAUGUGUGACACCAGCAGAAGACUUGCGAGAUGAUUCAGUUAACGUUCAGUCGAAUAAAGCUACAACAGAUAAUUCCUUUGAACGAGAUCCAAUCAUUGAUUUCAUUACAUGUUCAAUGAGUGAUUUAAGUCCUUUACCAUCUCAAGAAAAAAAGGUUGAACUAGUUUUUGAUGAAGGUGUAUUGAAGGAUAAUAUUGAACAUGAAAAACUACAUAACUUUACACAGUUGGAUGAUACUGAUGAGGUUGUUGAAAACAUGACAUUAGCCAACAUUUUAAUGACGAUGAAGGAUAACCCAGAGAUAGCUAAUUCACCAUCUUCUGCUCCAGAACAAAAGAUUGCUGAUGCAAAACUUACAUUUCCAGAACCAAAAAAUGUAGAUGCAGGAGCUAUUAAUCCAGAAAAAAGCAAUGCUGAUGCAAAUCUUACAGUUCCAUAACCAAAGAAUGCUGAUGCAGGAGCUAUUGAUCCAGAACAAAGCAGUGCUGACACAAAUUUUAUUGUUCCACAACCAAAGCAUGCUGCUGAUGCAGAACCAAAAGAUGGAGAAAGUAAAAGGAAGAGGAAAAAAAUAGAGAGUACAAAAGGACAGGAUGCUGUUGUGAAAAAGAAUUCACAAAAAGUUACCAAAAGGACAGGAUGCUGUUGUGAACAAAUCUUAUUCUUCAAAAGCUUGAAUGUGUGACUAGUUUAUCCACUGAAUUAUGUGUGAAUACUCUCUACACUGAACUAUAUGUGUAUAUUUUCUGUACUUGACUAUUUUCCACACAGAACUAUGUUUGUAUAUCAUUGGUGUUUCUUAAUGUGUAAAUACUCUCUACACUGAA